AACGAACGCUGGCGGCAGGCUUAACACAUGCAAGUCGAACGGGCAUAGCAAUAUGUCAGUGGCAGACGGGUGAGUAACACGUGGGAACCUUCCUAGAGGUACGGAACAACGCAGGGAAACUUGUGCUAAUACCGUAUACGCUCGAGAGAGGAAAGAUUUAUCGCCUUUAGGCGGGCCCGCGUAGGAUUAGGUAGUUGGUGAGGUAACGGCUCACCAAGCCUACGGUCCUUAGCUGAUCUGAGAGGAUGAUCAGCCACACUGGGACUGAGACACGGCCCAGACUCCUACGGGAGGCAGCAGGGGGGAAUCUUGGACAAUGGGCGCAAGCCUGAUCCAGCCAUGCCGCGUGAGUGACGAAGGUCUUCGGAUUGUAAAGCUCUUUUGCCAGGGACGAUAAUGACGGUACCUGGAGAAUAAGCCCCGGCUAACUUCGUGCCAGCCGCCGCCGUAA
rnacentral:rRNA from 1 species